rnacentral:rRNA from 1 species
UGGGGAAUUUUGGACAAUGGGCGAAAGCCUGAUCCAGCAAUGCCGCGUGUGUGAAGAAGGCCUUCGGGUUGUAAAGCACUUUUGUCCGGAAAGAAAUCCUUGGCUCUAAUACAGUCGGGGGGUGACGGUACCGGAAGAAUAAGCACCGGCUAACUACGUGCCAGCAGCCGCGGUAAUACGUAGGGUGCAAGCGUUAAUCGGAAUUACUGGGCGUAAAGCGUGCGCAGGCGGUUUGCUAAGACCGAUGUGAAAUCCCCGGGCUCAACCUGGGAACUGCAUUGGUGACUGGCAGGCUAGAGUAUGGCAGAGGGGGGUAGAAUUCCACGUGUAGCAGUGAAAUGCGUAGAGAUGUGGAGGAAUACCGAUGGCGAAGGCAGCCCCCUGGGCCAAUACUGACGCUCAUGCACGAAAACGUGGGGGAGCAAACAGGAUUAGAUACCCUGGUAGUCCACGCCCUAAACGAUGUCAACUAGUUGUUGGGGAUUCAUUUCCUUAGUAACGUAGCUAACGCGUGAAGUUGACCGCCUGGGGAGUACGGUCGCAGGAUUAAAACUCAAAGGAAUUGACGGGGUCAUAGCUGUUUCCU